GGUAGGUUGGCCGAGUGUCAGGCGGCGGAUUGUAGCUCCGACCACAGAGGUUCAAGCCCUCUCCCUGCCA
rnacentral:tRNA from 1 species